GGGAACACAUUGGAAUUAAAGAAGAAAUCGAGUUCCAAGGACAUCCAAGCACAGAAGCUAUAAUUGAGCUAGGUCCUGGCUUCAAGGACACUCGGUCAAUCCCAGAGCUAGCAAUUAAUAGAUCUUCACUCCAAAACCUCCAAAAUCUGCCAAAACUUGUGUCUACUCAUGUCAUUGCUCCACUCAAAAUGCUCCAGUAGUUCCCAUCUCACUCAGAGUCAAAGACUAAAGUCUUACCAUGACCCACAGGUCCUGUAUGAUGUUCACCACCUCCCCCGAUUACACUGGGCCUCCCCGUCAGUCACGCUGCUGUGACUGGUCAUGUUGUCUACCCUGUGGUCCUUCAGCACUGCAGGAACCCUCCUGGCUCCAGGAUGCUGUACCUGCUGUUCCCCCCUGCCUGGAAUGCUCAUCCCCAACUAUGUAUGUGCUUAUCACUUCUUUUAGGUCUUUGCUCAAAGGUCGUCUCAGUGAAGCUGUCCUUCUGUCUAAAAUUGUAAGCCCACCCCAAGACUUCCUAUCUAACUUAACCUGAAUUCUUUUCAAAGUUUUGUGUUAUGAAAAAUUUUAAACAAAGUGGUAAGAUGAACCCCCCCUUCUAGUCAUCAUUGAUCAGAUGUCUAAAUUUCAUUGAUCUUUUCUCAUCUAUGUCCCCUCCAUUUUUUUCCCUGCGCAUUAUAGCGAAACCUCCUGGCACUGAUCACUCUCUAAUAUAUCUUUUCUUAUUUUUCUUGGUUAUUUCAUGUCUCCCCACAAAACAUCGGCUCCAUGAGGACUGGAUUUUUCUGGCUUUGUUCCCAGCCGAUCACGGGCACCUCCAAGAGCGCCUGAUGCCGAGUAGGUACUCAUUAUUCAUGGCUGAAUGAAGCAAUGAAGCAGUUACCACAAUAUUGCCUGCUUUCUUCUCCCACAGCCUCCCCUACCAUCUGACCUGCGCAGCCACGAAUGCCGCAAGCACUCCUCCUCGGACCCCACCCAGUGACUGUCAGCCACAGCACCUACUUAGUCCCAUCACAGACUCUCAACAAGCCCCUGGCUCACAGUCACAAGAGGCAAAACCAGACUGGCCCAGUUCUCUGUUUGUGGGCCACGUCACAUAUUGUGCUGAGACUGAAUUCAUCUCCUUGGUGUCCUCUUGUCACCACGUGGUACAAAAGCGGGUACCCAACAGGGGCCGUCGAUGGGAUCUUUCCCUGGAAAGGGGAGAAGGCUGCAGUGGGACUGGGGUUGGACCAAGGUCCUAAUCCUGCACAGAGAGAGGACAGCCAGAAAGAGAAGUAAUGGUACAAUGCUGCAAGUACUUUCCUCCACUACGGGCAUCUCUGCCCCAGAAUGAUAGCCACACAGGACACACAUGUCUAUGGUCUGUGCCUCGCUGUAUUCCCCAGCACCCAGAACAGUGCUCAGAAAAUGCUCAAUAAAUCAACGUAAACCUUGAAUGAAGACACAAAUUCCCUGAUCUGAUGACCCUGUUUUUGCCUAACUUGACAAACGUAGGUGAAUCUGAGCCUUUUCAGGACUUCACACUUUUGACUUUUUUUCUGAAAUAUUUAAUCUCUUCCCACAUCAAGGCACAGAGGGGACAAGCAUAUCCAUGGCGCAUGUCACUGCCUGCUCUCCACAUUUGCAGUGAUGUGAUGUCUGGAGGAUUCCCCUGAGGUCCCUACAGUACCCUGGUUUCUCCAAGAUACUUUGAUUUUCACUUCUAGAAAAUUAGCCUCACACAUGACAUCUGUUUGACCAACUUGGCAGAAGCCGUUCCAGGAUCUCAGGCAACACAGGUGACACGAGAGAGCAGAGUAGCCUUUUGCCAUCUCAGCUCCGCCAUGAGCCACAUCGUGGGACACGAGCCACAUUGUGGGACAUGAGCCACAUCGUGGGACAUGAGCCACAUGCAGACAAGAAGCCCCCAGGGGCUCCAGCAUAGUAGAUCGGGGUCAGGGACCAGGAGGAAGUGAGGUAGGCAGUAGGCCUUGGAGAACUGGAGUAAACAAGUUCCCCUUCUCUAGCUGCUGACCAAAGGCCACGCUGGAAGCAGGGAAGGGCUAUGUUUCAUCCAUCAAGGUGUCCCCUACCUUCUCUGCACUGUCCAGCUGUGCUCACCUAGGACAUGUUUUCUGUCAGCAAGAUCUCUGUGGGAUUUGAAGGGUGAAGGAGCAGAGUCUCUGAAGGAAAACUUAAAUACGUGACACUUAAGAAUCAGCCCUCUUCCCUGUUUAUGAAACUAUAGGAAAGAGUGUCAGCCUCUGAACACACGUCCCACGUGCAAAUCCACAUUUUCCUCUUGACUGUGGUUUGGGCACCAACGUGAUUCCAAUACACCACAGAGAUGGCUUGUUUCCCUACAAGUGACACGAAUCAUGUGUCACAGUUACACUUUGUUUUUAACCCCUUUCAUCCCAGCAUUGCCACGCAGGGUGCAAACUUUAAUUAAUACCCCUCACAAAGUAGCGAGGAUCAUUAUCCCCGUGUCAAGUUUGAGAAACUGAGUCAUCGUAAGCUGUGACCCACAGGCCACAGGCUGAGUCAGUGCAAGAGCAAGAGACCAAAUUCCUGAUUCCCAACUGCCUGGCCACUGGCCUGGCCUCACACCCACUGCCGGCCUCUCUUCUGUGAAGCUGCUGGCUUUCACCUGGAGCUAGCCAGACGCCUCCCCUAAAGCCUCCUUCUCAUUCCACGGCUAACAAGGCUGCUGCGACCCAGGAGAGGCGGAGACCAACAAUGGCGGAGACAUAUCAGAGCAUCUGAGGAGCUUCAACACAGAUUCAACAAGAAUCUGGGCCUGACCUGGGAGUUUUCUCCCAGGACUGUGACACCACAAAGCCCCAACCUUUCCAGAAGCCCCUCUCCCUUCUCAGAGCACACUUAGGCCGCACCACCCUUUUAUAGUUCAUGGUUCUUAGUGACUAUAUGAAUGAUUUUUGCCUUCGUCCUUUUCUUCCUAUCUCUCUGCUCGCAAUCAGUCCCCUGUCUUUCCUCUCUUCCUUUCACAACACAUGCAUUUCCUCCUCUGCAAACAAUCCGCAGGUCCACA
rnacentral:lncRNA from 1 species